GAUGAACGCUGGCGGCGUGCCUAAUACGUGCAAGUCGAGCGAACAGACGAGGAGCUUGCUCCUCUGACGUUAGCGGCGGACGGGUGAGUAACACGUGGAUAACCUACCUAUAAGACUGGGAUAACUUCGGGAAACCGGAGCUAAUACCGGAUAACAUGUUGAACCGCAUGGUUCAACAGUGAAAGACGGUCUUGCUGUCACUUAUAGAUGGAUCCGCGCCGCAUUAGCUAGUUGGUAAGGUAACGGCUUACCAAGGCAACGAUGCGUAGCUGACCUGAGAGGGUGAUCGGCCACACUGGAACUGAGACACGGUCCAGACUCCUACGGGAGGCAGCAGUAGGGAAUCUUCCGCAAUGGGCGAAAGCCUGACGGAGCAACGCCGCGUGAGUGAAGAAGGUCUUCGGAUCGUAAAACUCUGUUAUUGGGGAAGAACAAAUGUGUAAGUAACUAUGCACGUAUUGACGGUACCUAAUCAGAAAGCCACGGCUAACUACGUG
rnacentral:rRNA from 1 species